AGAGUUUGAUCAUGGCUCAGAGUGAACGCUGGCGGUAGGCCUAACACAUGCAAGUCGAACGGCAGCACAGGAGAGCUUGCUCUCUGGGUGGCGAGUGGCGGACGGGUGAGGAAUACAUCGGAAUCUACUUUUUCGUGGGGGAUAACGUAGGGAAACUUACGCUAAUACCGCAUACGACCUACGGGUGAAAGCAGGGGAUCUUCGGACCUUGCGCGAUUGAAUGAGCCGAUGUCGGAUUAGCUAGUUGGCGGGGUAAAGGCCCACCAAGGCGACGAUCCGUAGCUGGUCUGAGAGGAUGAUCAGCCACACUGGAACUGAGACACGGUCCAGACUCCUACGGGAGGCAGCAGUGGGGAAUAUUGGACAAUGGGCGCAAGCCUGAUCCAGCCAUACCGCGUGGGUGAAGAAGGCCUUCGGGUUGUAAAGCCCUUUUGUUGGGAAAGAAAUCCAGCUGGCUAAUACCCGGUUGGGAUGACGGUACCCAAAGAAUAAGCACCGGCUAACUUCGUGCCAGCAGCCGCGGUAAUACGAAGGGUGCAAGCGUUACUCGGAAUUACUGGGCGUAAAGCGUGCGUAGGUGGUUGUUUAAGUCUGUUGUGAAAGCCCUGGGCUCAACCUGGGAACUGCAGUGGAAACUGGACGACUAGAGUGUGGUAGAGGGUAGCGGAAUUCCUGGUGUAGCAGUGAAAUGCGUAGAGAUCAGGAGGAACAUCCAUGGYGAAGGCAGCUACCUGGACCAACACUGACACUGAGGCACGAAAGCGU
rnacentral:rRNA from 1 species